CGGCUUCACUACGGGCGCCUAGUCGAAAUAGUUACUUGUGAUCGAACUCUUUCUUUUUAGAAGGAGAGACGACAAGUCCGUUGAGACGAAGCUGAGAUUGUACCGUGAACACUCGAUCAAGUUAGGACUUGCGUGGGAAAGUGACUGCCGCUUUGA
rnacentral:ncRNA from 1 species